rnacentral:misc_RNA from 1 species
UUUUUAGAAAAAAAACACAACCCAGCCUUGUAUAUCCUUUAAUCAUAAAAGCUGAGCAUAUAGAUAGAAGUUUGAAUAGUUACUCAAAAUAUCCUUUGAAAUAAAGGGCUAUCUGAGUAACAAAAGAAGAAAGCGUACAUUUGACAAGAAGAAUGGGCAGUGCCUGCCCAACUGCACUAUGCAAAAAGAAUUUUACCCAAAGGGAAUACACUGGACCAAAUAACCGUCCAUUGUUCGACUGGCCAGAUGAUUUGGAGCAAUGCUCUGUUCCUGGCACAGUUUCCCUCUAUACAACUUCAAUACACACUGUUAGUAAUUCCAUCUGUGCACAUUCAAAAAACCAGUUGAUGGAUGUUCUCUCGUGCAAAACCAAAAAAUGUCCUCCACCAAGCACCCAAAAAUACAAGUAUGCCUUCUGCUUUUGGCGUCUCAACAGAAGCUAGGGCGGCCAAGCACAUGAGUCGAGGUAUUGCUUCUCAAAAUGUCCUAAAAAUUUUUAUCAGGCAGUUUUUGUCUGUCUCGUCCUUACUUCUUGUACUUCGUCAAUCUCAGGCCAGCCCUGUCGCCUUGUUGAAGCAUCAUGAACAUAUUCAAUCUUUCCUCUCCAAGAAUCAACUGGCAAAUCCCACAGGAUUUCAAAGAACUUAAAUUAUCACACUUUAACUGCUAUUUCCCUUUCUCACCCAUGAUUAAAAGAAGUCCUCAAGCUCUCAUCUGGUAGUGUCCAAGAGAGCAAAUGCCCACCAGAAUCCCCACUCAACAACUGCUUCAGGUCACUCGUGAGGUAAAGGGCAGUAACAGGAUGUUUAUGAAACUUCAACACCUUGUGAAGCACCAACCUGUACUCUGGUACAUUAUCACCUAAAUUCAGCCCAAUCGUUGGAUUGCUGUUUGAUUUACUUUGAGCACUCUCUUGGGUGGAGCAGUGAAUCAUUUGCCACACCUUAACAGCCCCACUCUGGUGACCUGUCACAUACCAGUUUGUGUCCAUCCAAUCUGAAAAUGUACAGCUUGUCACUGAAAGAAUAGAAUCAGAUGGCAAUUGGGAUGUGUUAAUCACUGCAAGGCAAUCCCCAUUGAUGCUCCAAACAGCAAGCAUUAUUCCAGCAGCUGUCACAAUCUCCCCAGUCAAGUCAUUCACGUAUAUUGCUGAAACUGGCAAUGGAAACUCUGGUAACUGCCUAACAAAAACCAAGGAGCUGAGAUCCCACACGAUAACAGUGCAGUCAUCAGAUCCACUCACUAUCAGCAUGUAAGGCUGGCUAACAUGAAGGCAUGUGAUUUUUCCAGUGUGACCACAAAGCGCCUUCUCUAAUUGCAAAUGCUGUAAAACUCGGGGACCAUCCUUGCCAACUCUCCAAACAGAAAUUAACCCAUCAUCAGCGCCCGUAACCAAUAUUUGACCAUCAUGGCUAAGACCUGUACACUGAAUCUGGUUACCCCCAUGAAGAUUUUCAUGUGUUGAAAGGAGUUUGUCCUGGUCAUAGCUCAUAAAUCUCAAGCUCCGGUCUGGAAAUCCCCAUGCCACAUAUUUGGUAUACGUUCUAGGUUUAAGUAAACUGUUUGUCCCUGCCACAAGAAUUUUCUCAUGGAAAGUAACAAUCUGAGUUAUGGCUGAUGAGGUCUUGCGUAUUUCAUGUGGGACAAGAUGGGAAGAAUACUUGAGAGGAUGAAGAGGAAGCCUUCUGUCAGACCGCCUUUUCACAUGGGGUUUGAGGAACAGUUGCUUGGGUGUCUGCCCAAAGUGGUUGAUUUGUGCUAGAAUGGAGGCUUUCAUUGCAGGAUCAGUAACUGAGUCUAUGUCCACACUCCCCUCAUAUGUGUAAUGAUAGAAAACAUUGAUGGCUUCUUCAGCUGCCUUCCCUCUCUGUUUAUAUCCGAAUAUGAGGUCUAUCCAAUGAUGCAGAUUUUCUGAAACAUAAUCAGAUUCCAAGGCUGCCCUAUGUUUCCUAAUAAAUUCUCUGGCACUGCCUUUGGCCCAAGGAGGCAAGAAGACAUCACCAACCUUCUCUCCUGAUUGUUUCUCUCCCAAGUCAAGUUUAAACCUAUUUACAAGAAAUUCUGGCAUGUAGAAGAAUUCUGGAAUCAAUUCCUUCACAUCAGAUGUGUUACCCUUCCCAGCUGCACUUAACCAAGUUUCUCUAAUGCCAUUGAAAAGACGAUCAGCAUGAUCAAAUUUUCCACCCUGCAAAUUACGGUGAAGUGAUGUGAAUGGCUCUAAUCUAAGAAGAUAAUAAAGCACAAUCCCCAUGCUUGAGUAAUGUGAUCCAUAGUAGAA